CGUGUGUAUGAUGUCUGUGGUGUGGCGUUCACUGACUGCUAUUUCACCCGCAUUCAGGAUGCUAACUACUAGCAGGUGAGGACGUCCAGAAGCCACAAAUGGAGGGUCAUUUUGACGUCGAGAAGGACCAGAAAAGGACUGAUCAACAAGCUGCCUAAAAACUGUGUGUCAACUGCAAAGCCUCAAGAAGGAGAGCCGAAUGAGGACAGACAUGUCUGUCCACCUUGUCUGAUUUUACCUUCACUGGAAAUAUUUAACAUUAGUUAUAACAAAUAUGUAUGCUAAUGUUGCUUGACCAUGAAAUAGGUUCAGUUUAAUGUUUAGUCAUCCCACAAGGAGGCUAACAAGAAUUUGUUGUCAUGAAAUCCUUUCCAACUGUGGAGUUGGAAGUACUGUUUAUUUUAUUAGGUGUAUGAAUAAAUCCUCUUUUAAACAAUA